UACCGGAGGAUGCAAGCGUUAUCCGGAUUUAUUGGGUUUAAAGGGUGCGCAGGUUGUUUGAUAAGUCAGUGGUGAAAGUCUGUCGCUUAACGGUAGGAUUGCCAUUGAUACUGUUAGACUUGAAUAUGGAUGAGGUAGGCGGAAUGUGUAGUGUAGCGGUGAAAUGCAUAGAUAUUACACAGAACACCGAUUGCGAAGGCAGCUUACUAAUCCAUCAUUGACGCUGAGGCACGAAAGCGUGGGGAUCAAACAGGA
rnacentral:rRNA from 1 species